CGGGAAUAUUUUUGUAUGUAUUUCCGAAAUGAACACAAUGGGAGGAUUAGUGAUCCUGGGUCAUGAUGCAAGCAGGACUUCAGCCUUUUCUACUUUAGGAACAGAGCACAGAAGACCAUGUACUUCUCCUCUGAAGCCGCUCAAAAACAGCUCGGAUGGAAAGACAAAUCCAUCAAGAUCGCUCCCUGAUCACUGACCCGCAGAUUCUCUAGCCGCGGUAGUAGAGCAGAAGCCGUUGCUUCUGCGAGGCCUGAGGUCAGCUUGGGAAGCCCCGAGAGGCAGCUGUGGGCUGAGAGUAGAGCCUAUAGACCCCGUAGCCUGCUGGAUCUUCCUUUAAUACAUCAUUUUAAAGUCGG